GGACCACAGUUCAGUAGUUAGAUUAUCUGCUUUGCAAGCAGAGGGCCCCAGGUUCAAACCGUGGUAUCUCCA